AAAGCAAGAGAAAAUGCCUCUUCAGCAAUGUGGGGGGCUAUCUGAAUAUCAAUAUGGGGUGAUGGGAUCCAGGGCUCUGAUGAGGCCUGAUGGCUGGGACUUCACCAGGAAGCUUUCCUGGGAUGGGCCUUCCACACAGGGACCUUCAUCUUGCCUGCUACAAUGUGGUGCUCUGGACAUCUCUGCAGGGGGACAAGCAGUGUGGAAGACACAAGCUACUUCAGGGGCUAUGAUGACAGGCUGUUGGUCAACUGAUGAAUUAUUGGAAGUCUAUUACUGCAGGAACCAGGGGCCUAUUGUUUUAUGGAUACAAUUCAGGGGACCCAUGUAUUUGGAUGCAGAAAAUCAUCAUUUUAUUUUCAUAACCUCCUUCAUUUAUGGAUGCAGGAAUCAAAAACAUUUGUUAUCAAUACUUAUGACUAUGCUACUCAGAGAAAUCAGAGAUUUUUAAAAUUACAUAUUAAAGUUAUAUAUAUCCAA
ensembl:lncRNA